AACGUGGCGAACGGGUGAGUAACGAAUAGAUGACGUGCCCGGAAGCGCGGGAUAAUCCACCGAAAGGUGAAGUAAUACCGGAUGGCAUGAUGUUUCUUCGGAAUCAUCAUUAAAGGAGGCUCUGCUUCCACUUAAGGAGGGAUUUAUUUCCUAUUAGCUAGUUGGUGAGAUAACAGCUCACCAAGGCAAAGAUGGGUAGGGGGCCUUAGCGGGUGACCCCCCACACUGNGAGUGAGACACUGCCCAGGUUCCUACGGGAGGCUGCAAUCGAGAAUCCUCCGCAAUGGGCGAAAGCCUGACGGGGUGACGCCGCGUGACCGAUGAAGGCCUAUCAGGUCGUAAAGGUCUAACAGGGAGUAUGAAAUUUAUUAUACCUAAUACGUAUAGUAAUUGACAUCAAUCCCAGAUGAAGUCACGGCUAAAUUUGUGCCAGCAGCCGCGGUAAUACAAAUGUGGCAAGCGUUGUUCGGAAUCACUGGGCAUACAGGGCACGUAGGUGGCGCAGUAAGUUAAUUGUGAAAGCCCUCGGGCUUAACCGAGGAAUUGCAGUUCAAACUGCUGUGCUAGAGUACAGAAGGGGAGAGUGGAAUUCUAGGUGUAGC
rnacentral:rRNA from 1 species